GAUGAACGCUGGCGGCGUGCUUAACACAUGCAAGUCGAACGAUGAAGCCCAGCUUGCUGGGUGGAUUAGUGGCGAACGGGUGAGUAACACGUGAGUAACCUGCCCUUGACUCUGGGAUAAGCCUGGUAAACUGGGUCUAAUACUGGAUAUGACUUCUCAUCGCAUGGUGGGGGGUGGAAAGAUUUAUUGGUCUUGGAUGGACUCGCGGCCUAUCAGCUUGUUGGUGAGGUAAUGGCCCACCAAGGCGACGACGGGUAGCCGGCCUGAGAGGGUGACCGGCAACACUGGGACUGAGAAACGGCCCAGACGCAUACGGGAGGCAGCAGUGGGGAAUAUUGCACAAUGGGCGCAAGCCUGAUGCAGCGACGCCGGGUGAGGGAUGACGGCCUUCGGGUUGUAAACCGCUUUCAGGAGGGAAGAAGCGAGAGUGACGGUACCUGCAGAAGAAGCGCCGGCUAACUACGUG
rnacentral:rRNA from 1 species